rfam:Oryzias latipes DNA, scaffold2480, strain: Hd-rR.
GGUAAGGUGGCCGAGUACUAAGCGGUGGAUUGUAGCCCCAUAGACAGAGGUUAAAUUCCUCUUCUUACCA